rnacentral:rRNA from 1 species
AGUGAACGCUGGCGGUAGGCCUAACACGUGCAAGUCGAACGGCAGCACAGUAAGAGCUUGCUCUUACGGGUGGCGAGUGGCGGAUGGGUGAGGAAUACAUCGGAAUCUACUUUUUCGUGGGGGAUAACGUAGGGAAACUUACGCUAAUACCGCAUACGACCUACGGGUGAAAGCAGGGGAUCUUCGGACCUUGCGCGAUUGAAUGAGCCGAUGUCGGAUUAGCUAGUUGGCGGGGUAAAGGCCCACCAAGGCGACGAUCCGUAGCUGGUCUGAGAGGAUGAUCAGCCACACUGGAACUGAGACACGGUCCAGACUCCUACGGGAGGCAGCAGUGGGGAAUAUUGGACAAUGGGCGCAAGCCUGAUCCAGCCAUACCGCGUGGGUGAAGAAGGCCUUCGGGUUGUAAAGCCCUUUUGUUGGGAAAGAAAAGCAGCAGGUUAAUACCCCGCUGUUCUGACGGUACCAAAAGAAUAAGCACCGGCUAACUUCGUG